AGUGAACGCUGGCGGUAGGCCUAACACAUGCAAGUCGAACGGCAGCGCGGUAUGAGCUUGGUCUGAGGGGGGGGGAGUGGUGGGCGGGGGAGGGGUGCGUGGGCAUCUGUGUGUUCGUGGGGGGUGACGUCGGGAUACUUACCGUAAUAGCGCUUAGGACGUACGGGUGGAAGCGGAGGGCCUUCGGAUAUUGGGGGGGUGGAUGUCGGGAUGUCGGAUUAGCUAGUUGGCGGGGUAAAGGCGCACCAAGGCGACGAUCCGUAGCUGGUCUGAGAGGAUGACCAGCCACACUGGAACUGAGACACGGUCCAGACUCCUACGGGAGGCAGCAGUGGGGAAUAUUGGGCAAUGGGCGCAAGCCUGAUCCAGCCAUACCGCGUGGGUGAAGAAGGCCUUCGGGUUGUAAAGCCCUUUUGUUGGGAAAGAAAAGCAGCAGGUUAAUACCCCGGUGUUCUGGCGGUACCCAGAGAAUAAGCACCGGCUAACUUCGUG
rnacentral:rRNA from 1 species